rnacentral:tRNA from 1 species
GUGGGUGUAGCUCAAUGGUAGAGCACCAGAUUGUGGCUCUGGCGGUUGUGGGUUCGAGUCCCAUCAUCCACC